rnacentral:rRNA from 1 species
AGCGAACGCUGGCGGCGUGCUUAACACAUGCAAGUCGAGCGAGAAAGGGAGCUUCGGCUCCUGAGUACAGCGGCGAACGGGUGCGUAAUACAUGAGCAAUCUACCCUUGAGGCGGGAAUAACCCAGCGAAAGUUGGGCUAAUACCGGAUAAGACCACAGGAGGAAACUCCAGAGGUCAAAGGCAGCUCUCUUUUGGGGGCGGCCCUUUGAGGAGGAGCUCAUGUCCUAUCAGCUAGUUGGUAGGGUAACGGCCUGCCAAGGCGAAGACGGGUAGCUGGGCGUAGAGGAUGAUCCGCCACACGGGUACUGAGACACGGUCCAGACUCCUACGGGAGGCAGCAGUGGGGAAUCUUGCGCAAUGGACGAAAGGCUAACGCAGCGACGCCGCGUGGGUGAUGAAGGCCUUCGGGUUGUAAAGCCCUGUGGGGAGGGACGAAUAAGUUGCAGCUAAUACCUGCAGCGAUGACGGUACCUCCUUAGCAAGCACCGGCUAACUCUGUGCCAGCCGCCGCGGUAAAAC